GCCCGCUACGCCACCUGGAUGUAUCUACCCACUCACAUUCACUUAUAGCAUCAAACAAAAAACCAUGGAUAAAGUCAAGAGGAAGUAGUGGAGUGAGGUGGACAUGUUCCAGGCCAUGGAGGACUAAGGGGCAGGGAUGGCUAUCCGCUGGGCUGCCAAGGGUGCACGAUGUAUCUCGGCAGACUCUGUGCGGCCGGGUGACAGAAUGGUUGUCGCAGUGGACCACCCACAUUGCUUGCACCAGAGGAUGAAAAUGGGUUCCCCUUCACCAAACAUAAACUGAUGAAAUAUGCCAACAAAAUAUGCAGGUUUCGGCACCCAGGGGAGACAAUCCCACCACUGGGGAAGAGGUGGUGGAAAAUGUUUAGGGGGAGGCACAGGAACCUAAGCAUGAGGAGGCCGGACACCCUGGACAGGGGAGAGCUGAGUGUGCCACCCGUCCAAUGACAGACACCUUCUUUGCUUCUUAUGGGAAUCACUUGGAGGAGAGUGGGUUGAGGGGAAAACCCAGACAAAUCUAUCACUGAGAUGAGUCUGGGCUUCGUAGCGACCAGAGCAGGCACAAACUGCUGGCUCCCCGGGAUGCAAAACACGUGUACCAGUAGGCUCCGGGGACCAAGGAGCACAUCACAGAGCUGGCCUGCUUCAACACAGCUGGAGAGGACAUCCCCAUGUUUAUCAUCUACCUCAAGUGAUUUCCCAGCGGCCACUACACACUGGGAGCCCCCCCCCCUCCCCAAGCCUUAUAUGGAUGGUCCAACAGUGGCUACAUUGACAGGGACCUGUUCAGGAAGUGGCUUCAGCACUCGCCCGCUCCUUCUCCUCUCCGAUGGGCACAAGUACCACAUGGACCCGGAGGUGCUCACGGCGACACUAAGGGAAAGGGUUAUACUUCUUUGUCUUACACCACACUGCACCCAUAUCAUGCAGCCGCUGGACGUGGCAUACUUUGAUAGCAAAGGACCUGAGGCACAUCCUUACCGUCCUGAAGUAUUGACCAGACCGAUACAGAAGACUCCCUCACCGUGGAGGAAUACACUCGCCAAUGGCAGGAGAGGGGUUAGAAGGACAGGGCCAAGGCAGAGGAGAAAGAGCGUCAGGCAGCCCUCAAAACACAGAGGGCAUAGGAGAGUGCUGCCAUGGAUGAGAUGAUCAACACCAUCACAUCUGCUGGUCCCCCAGCUGGAACCACUUCUGUUAGCUGCAUCACCUGUGCCUCCCAGUAUGCAACACCUGUAGGAGCCGCUGGAGCCCCCAGCUACAGAAGAAGGCCACAUAGCUGCUCUCUCGGCCACACCAUCGUUGGCCCCUGAACCCAACCACUAGCAACACCAGCUCCUCCAAGCCAUUGUCAGUGGAGAUGGAUGGAGGAUGGAGGUUGAGAUGUAAUUGUUUGUUUGUCUUGUUUGUUUUCAUAUGCAAUGAUUUAUUUGUAAAACUAUAUAUUACAUGUCUAAAAUAUUAGGUUAAAUAUAUAUAUAUAUAUUUAACCUAUCUUGUGUAUUUAUUCCAUUACUUUCCAAGUGCAUCUCUGCAACACAAACUUUUCAUUGUUUAUGUCAAUGCACAUCAAUGAAAUUAAAGUAUAAUUUGAUGUAA